ensembl:lncRNA
UGGGAAAUUUACAUUUUGCAUAGUUGUGAUUAUUUUUGAAGGAGAGAAUUAUGAGUUUUGUUGAGCGUUUAUUAGUAGGGUAAAGGAGUGAAUUCAGCUUUUUAUUAGGGUCAUUUCAAUGAUGAAUGAAUGUUUCUUUUUCAUAGGGACAAGAAAAAAGACAAAGAAAACAAAGAAAAGGUCAAGGAAAAAGAAAAGGUCAAAGAGAAGGACAAGGACCGAGACAGGGAGAAGGAGAGAGACCGAGAUAAAGAAAGAGAGAGGGAGCGGGACAGAGACAAAGAGAGAAACAGGGACAAGGAUAGGGAGAGAGAUAAAGAAAAAGACAGGGACAAGGACCGAGAGAGGGACAGAGACAAAGAAAAGGAGAGGAACAAAGACCGGGAGAGGGUCAAGGACAGGGACAAAGAGAAGGAUAGGGAGAAGGACAGGGACAAGGAGAAGGACAGGGACAAGGAGAAGGAGGUAGUCCGGGACAAGAAGGAAACGGACCUGGAGAAAGGGGGGGACAGGGACAAGGAAAAGGAUCGGGAGAAAGAGGGGGAAAGGGAGAAGGUUAAGGAGAAGGACAGGGAGAAAGACAGAGAGAGGAAGGAGGGUGACAAGGAGAAGGACAAAGACAAGGAAGGGGACAAAGAGAAGGAACGGGAAAGAGAAAAAGAGAGGUCCAAAGAGAGUGAUGAUAAAAAGAAGAAAGAGAAGAGAUCCAGAACACCUCCCAGAAGCUACAGUUCUCUAAGAAGAUCUCGUAGUUCCAGCAGAGAAAGGCGUAAGAGGAAGAGUAGAAGUCCUUCCAAGUCUCCAAAAACAUCCAAAACAUCAAAGAGAAAGUCCUCUCGGUCUCCAUCACCAAGGAGGUGGGAUUUAUAUACAUAUUAGAAUUAAAACGGACAGCUAAAAAGGAAAAUCUUUAAUGAUCUUUCUCCCGUACUGAAAUUUCAUCAGCUUCCCAGUAUCAGUACCAAUAUCAUGCAAAAAAAAUUGUUGAGGAGAUUUGGAUUUCUUCUGGGCAGUUUUUUUUUUUUCAGUACAUGUAAGAAGCUUUCUACCUAUCUUGUAUGUAAAUGACAAUGACAAGAUCAGCCCUCUUUCUCCAAAACAGAAUCUUAGAUGGAGAAUCUGAGAAUAUGAAAAAAACUUGUUUGGAAACACUGUUCUCAUCAGUUUAUCACCCCUGCCUGAGUCUCUUUUAUUACACUUCCGUCGCUGCAGAUAAUUUCAUUUGGUCAAAGUGAUUCAAGUCUCAGUUCAAUCUUGCAUUGAUUUAUUAUUUUGGAGCUCUUCACAUUCUUUACCUACAAACCAAUCAAAGAUCCUUAUUGUUCUGUACAGCUGUCCUUUGUGUGGCAGACCCAGACCAGUGGAGUACAGGAGUCUGGUAGAGGGCAAAUAUACUGGUCACUAGAUAAGUAGUUUUCUGUUCCCUGAGUGACCAGAGCAGGGGCUGCACUAGAGUUAUCAGGAACCUGCUAGAACCAGUUAAGGCAGGCAGGCUAAUUAGGACACCUGGAGCCAAUUAAGAAGAAGCUUCUAGAAUCAAUUAAGGCAGGCUAAUCAGGGUACCUGGGUUUUAAAAAGGAGCUCACUUCAGUUUGUGGUGGGAGUGUGAGGAGCUGGGAGCAAGAGGCGCAAGGAGCUGAGAGGGUGUGCUGCUGGAGGACUGAGGAGCACAAGCGUUAUCAGACACCAGGAGGAAGAUCCUGUGGUGAGAAUAAGGAAGGUGUUUGGAGGAGGCCAUGGGGAAGUAGCCCAGGGAGUUGUAGCUGUCAUGCAGCUGUUACAGGAGGCACUAGAGACAGCUGCAGUCCACUGGGCUGGAACCCAGAGUAGAGGGUGGGUCCGGGUUCCUCCCAAACCUCCCAAUUGACCUGGACUGUGGGUUCUUCCAGAGGGGAAGGUCUCUGGGCUGUUCCCCAACCCACAUGGUGAAUCUCUGAGGCAAGAAAAUCCGCCAAUAAGCGCAGGACCCACCAAGAUAGAGGAGGAACUUUUGUCACACUUGUCAAUUUGCUCCCCUCUUUGUAUAUUUUUGAAAAUUAAAUUCUUUAGCUCUUUUGAGUAAGAAAAUUGAUAGUGUUUUGCAUUUUUACAAAUAUUUAAUUUCUUCUCUCUUUUACCCAUUGUUUUUGAAAGUCUCACAGAUGCGGGUCUCGUUUGCAAUUUAAUGUUUUGAUAGUAAUUCUAGAUCUAAUUGGAGAUUAAAGGAAUCAAACUGUAGUUAUUGAUCGGCAAACCAUUGAACUGCUUCAGUCAGUUGUUCAUAAGAAAAAGAUUGUGAAUUUACUUUCCCAAAGUCUGAUAGCUAUUAAACACAAGAGCAAAUGAUGAAAACCUUAUAUGUGUGAGCAGUUAUUUCCAGAUCAAUGUGAGUGACUUGGGAGUGUAAGAUAAAUUACCCUUUUUUUUCUUUUUUUUUAAUGGAUAUAAGUAUAGAAUACAGCACAGUAACUUCUCAUUUAACGUCCUGCUUAACGUUGUUUUGUUGCUGAUCAAUUAGAGAACAUGCUCAUUUAAAGUUGCACAAUUCUCCCUUAUAACGUUGUUUGGCAGCCACCCGCUUUGUCUACUGCUUGCAGGAAAAGCAGCCGUUGGAGCUAGCUGGUGAGGGCUUGGAACCAGGAUGGACCGGCAGCCCUGCUAUCAGCUCCCCUAAGUUCUCUGUGCAGCAGCUGCCCAGCAGGCUAUCAAUUGUGUUAACCCUUGAGGGCUCAGCUGAGUGCUGGUUCAUCAUUUAGCAAUAAGGUGUUCCACCCUCUUGACUCCACCACCUCAACCAAGCUUCACAAGCAUCAUUGCUGUGUACAGUAUUACAUUGUUUAAAACUUAUACUGUGUGUAUGUGUAUAUAUUCUUUUGUCUGGCGAAAAAAAAAUUCCCUGGAACCGAACCUCCCCACCCCCAUUUGCAUUAAUUCUUAUGGGGAAAUUGGAUUCGCUUAACAUUGUUUUGCUUAAAGUAGCAUUUUUCAGGAAUAUAACUACAAAGUUAAGCGAGGAGUUACUGUACUGAAUAAGUUUUGCGUGUUUGCACAUAUGGACUUCGGAUUUUUUUUAGCAUUGUUAGCUAAGUCAUAUAUGUAUUCAAUUAGAAAUACUUCUGAUCACUAUUAUUUGGCAUGAAGAGAUUUGUCCUUUCAGUAAAUUCUGCCAGCUGUACAUCUUCAGGGUCUCUUAGAAGUAUGCUACCUGGAUGAUUCAGAAAAUAUACUUUUUAAAAUAAGCUGUGGAAUUACACAGUCUCUUACAUAGGAGCCUCUAGUUGAAACACAUUAGUGUUACAGUUCAGCACUGAAAAUGAAGGGUUGAUUCUAAGAAUUACAGCUUUCUAAAGCUAACUUCUUAGUAUUCAUUUGGUUUACUCGAUUACUGAAUGUCUAAAAACUUUCUUAAGCAGAAAUAAGAAGGACAAAAAGAGAGAGAAAGAAAAGGAUUCAAAUAAUGAAAGAAAAGAGAGAGAGCAAUCCACAUCCAAGAAAAAAAGUAGCAAAGAAAAAGAUGGGAAGGAGAAGUCUGACAAAACCACUACUACACUGAAGGUAAGCACUUGUGAACAAGUGAUGAACAGGAGAGUGACUAAGCAGUAGAGUUUGAUCGAUUCUUGCCAAAAUCUGUCAUUUCUGUCUUCAUUCUUUGCUAGUUUGGACAGUUAAGUAUAGUUCCUACGAGCAAGAGACAGGUGCUCCAAAAGAAAGUGACCUUGGCAGAUCCAUUAGAUUAGGUCUCCCUACUUGAACCUUCCCAGCUCUUCAGGUGCUUGAGUGGGUAGGUAGGGAGAAAUGAGUGGAAUGGAAUAAAGAAGCAUAGGGUAAGGAGUGGGUUGGCUAC